rnacentral:rRNA from 1 species
AUUGAACGCUGGCGGCAGGCCUAACACAUGCAAGUCGAGCGAGGGGCGGAAGGGUGAGUAAUGUAUGGGGACUGCCCGAUAGAGGGGGAUAACCACUGGAAAAGGUGGCUAAUACCGCAUAAUAUAGGGUAACCCAUGUGGGAAUAGGUAGUAGGUGGGGUAAAGGCUCACCUAGGCGACGAUCCCUAGCUGGUGUGAGAGGAUGAACAGCCACACGGGGACUGAGACACGGCCCAGACUCCUACGGAGGCAGCAGUGGGGAAUAUUGCACAAUGGGCGCAAGCCGGAUGCAGCCAUGCCGCGUGUAUGAAGAAGGCCUUAGGGUUGUAAAGUACUUUCAGCGGUGAGGCGUUACCCGCAGAAGAAGCACCGGCUAACUCCGUGCCAGCAGCCGCGGUAAUUC